rnacentral:lncRNA from 1 species
AUCUCUAUAUAAAUUGCGCUAGCGCGACAUAGCGCAGCUGCAGGGUACUCGCCUCAUCAAAUAUCAAAAUGCUGAAAUUUAAGGCUAUUCUCUUUGUAUUUUUCAUGGUCACAGUUAUGUUCAUGGUCGGCAGCGUCACCUCCUCGUGCGAUACGUCGAAGCUUUGCUCCAAGGACACUGACUGCAAUAUGACCGACCCAAAAUGCGGGUGUGCUCUGAUUAUGUAUGGACAACCAACGAAUAUUAACCAGCGCAGAUGUGCGUAUAUAUCGUAAUAAUAUCUUGGGAAAAAAUAAUAAAACCCUUUUGCGCUCUCAAAA